CCUACGGGAGGCAGCAGUGGGGAAUUUUGGACAAUGGGCGCAAGCCUGAUCCAGCCAUGCCGCGUGUGGGAAGAAGGCCUUCGGGUUGUAAACCACUUUUGUCAGGGAAGAAACGGUCUGAACUAAUACUUUGGACUAAUGACGGUACCUGAAGAAUAAGCACCGGCUAACUACGUGCCAGCAGCCGCGGUAAUACGUAGGGUGCAAGCGUUAAUCGGAAUUACUGGGCGUAAAGCGUGCGCAGGCGGCUUUGCAAGACAGAUGUGAAAUCCCCGGGCUCAACCUGGGAACUGCAUUUGUGACUGCAUGGCUAGAGUACGGUAGAGGGGGGAUGGAAUUCCGCGUGUAGCAGUGAAAUGCGUAGAUAUGCGGAGGAACACCGAUGGCGAAGGCAAUCCCCUGGACCUGUACUGACGCUCAUGCACGAAAGCGUGGGGGAGCAAACAGGAUUAGAUACCCUGGUAGUCCACGCCCUAAACGAUGUCAACUGGUUGUUGGGAGGGUUUCUUNUCAGUAACGAAGCUAAGCGUGAAGUUGACCGCCUGGGGAGUACGGCCGCAGGUUGAAACUUAAAGGAAUUGACGG
rnacentral:rRNA from 1 species